GAUGAAGAACGCAGCGAAAUGCGAUAAGUAAUGUGAAUUGCAGAAUUCAGUGAAUCAUCGAAUCUUUGAACGCACAUUGCGCCCGCCAGUAUUCUGGCGAGCAUGCCUGUUCGAGCGUCAUUUCAACCAUCAAGCCCCAGGCUUGUGUUGGAGCCCUGCGGCUGCCGCAGCCUCCCAAAACCAGUGGCGGGCUCGCUAUCACACCGAGUGCAGUAGUUUACUCUUCGCUCAGGGCGUGUGGCGGGUGCUAGCCGUGAAACCCCCAACUUCUCAAGGUUGACCUCGGAUCAGGUAGGAAUACCCGCUGAACUUAAGCAUAUCAAUAUGCGGAGGA
rnacentral:misc_RNA from 1 species